rnacentral:rRNA from 1 species
UGGGGAAUCUUCCACAAUGGACGAAAGUCUGAUGGAGCAACGCCGCGUGAGUGAAGAAGGUCUUCGGAUCGUAAAGCUCUGUUGUCGGGGACGAAUGUAGAGUUCUGGAAUACGGAACUCUAAUGACGGUACCUGACGAGGAAGCCACGGCUAACUACGUGCCAGCAGCCGCGGUAAUACGUAGGUGGCAAGCGUUGUCCGGAAUUAUUGGGCGUAAAGGGAGCGCAGGUGGGCGUGUAAGUCUUUCUUAAAAGUGCGGGGCUCAACCCCGUGAUGGGAAAGAAACUAUAUGCCUUGAGUGCAGGAGAGGAAAGCGGAAUUCCUAGUGUAGCGGUGAAAUGCGUAGAUAUUAGGAGGAACACCAGUGGCGAAGGCGGCUUUCUGGACUGUAACUGACACUGAGGCUCGAAAGCCAGGGGAGCGAACG